rnacentral:tRNA from 1 species
GGGGUUAUAGCUCAGUGGCAGAGCAUUUGCUUUGCACGCAAAAUGUCCCAAGUUAAUUUCUUUACAGCUCAA